rnacentral:rRNA from 1 species
CCUACGGGAGGCAGCAGUGGGGAAUAUUGGACAAUGGGGGCAACCCUGAUCCAGCCAUGCCGCGUGUGUGAAGAAGGCCCUCGGGUUGUAAAGCACUUUCAGUGAGGAAGAACGCCUGGUGGUUAAUACCCAUCAGGAAAGACAUCACUCACAGAAGAAGCACCGGCUAACUCCGUGCCAGCAGCCGCGGUAAUACGGAGGGUGCGAGCGUUAAUCGGAAUUACUGGGCGUAAAGCGCGCGUAGGUGGCUUGAUAAGCCGGUUGUGAAAGCCCCGGGCUCAACCUGGGAACGGCAUCCGGAACUGUCAAGCUAGAGUGCAGGAGAGGAAGGUAGAAUUCCCGGUGUAGCGGUGAAAUGCGUAGAGAUCGGGAGGAAUACCAGUGGCGAAGGCGGCCUUCUGGACUGACACUGACACUGAGGUGCGAAAGCGUGGGUAGCAAACAGGAUUAGAUACCCCUGUAGGC